rfam:Schizophyllum commune H4-8 unplaced genomic scaffold SCHCOscaffold_10, whole genome shotgun sequence.
GGUCCUAUAGUGUAGCGGUUAUCACAGUGGAUUCUGAUGUACUGCAUUCGGCCAUUCGAAUUCCACUAACGCAGGUUCGAUUCCUGCUAGGACCU